rnacentral:sRNA from 1 species
AUCCCGCAGGACGUCGUCUCAGGAGACACC